UAACUUUAGUCAAAGUCAAACUGCUUCAAGUUUGACCAAGUUUAUAGAAAAAAAAGUAAUAUUUUUGACCCAAGAUAAAUUUAUUAUAAAAAUGUAUUUAAUUAUUAAUUUAAUAAAACUAAUUUGGUAAUGUAAAUAUUACUAUAUUUGUCUGUAAACUUAGUCAAACAUGAAGUAGUUUGACUUUGACCAAAGUCAA
rnacentral:pre_miRNA from 1 species